rnacentral:lncRNA from 1 species
CUGAAGUCGCAAGACUGUUUGCCCCUUACAGAGCGAGGCCUUCCUCAGCGCCACUUUCAUCUCUGACCCCGCAAUCUUCCAAGAAAGCAUGCUGCUCCAUUUACACACACACCUUCUUCUGUUUACAUGACCAUGUCAGACACAGUGCCAGCUAAAGCAGUCAAAUUUGACCUAUCAGCAGCUGGACUUGGAGAGAAAUGGAUUUCAUUCCAAGGAAGGGAUGAUGACCCAGAAGUGGUCAAGGCGAAGAUUGAGGAUACCUUCCCUCAGCUAAAAGACACAGGAGGGUUUGAACCGCUGAGAAUCUCGGGUACAACACGAAGCCGUAACCUGCGCACAAUCCCAAGCCCAGACACUGGAUAUACAGUGCGAUAUCUCCGCAGUCCAUUGAGUGGAAUUGGACAAGCUUUGAUCUAUAUAAGGCCACUGCAGAAAAGUAUUGAUCUGGAAGACGUGAGUAAUGACUAGGGUCAGAAUAUGUUAUUUGCAUGUAUUAAUAAACUAGUUCAAAUGGCUAGCGAAGCUCAACUAUGUGUCAAAUCAGUUUAGCUGUCAGCUGGUUAGAAACAUGACUGCAUAUGAGUAAUAAUGGUUCUGAAUGUGUAUGUAAGCAACUGUUAGAAAAGGUUUAGAAGGAGAUAUGUCAUUUUGUGUUUACAAUUUGUUUCUGCUGCUCACAUGUUGACAAAUGCAAUUGCAGAACUGUCAAAAUAUUUUUUAUCACAGCAUGCACCAAUUGUGUGUGUGUGUGUGUAUAUAUAUAUAUAUAUAUAUAUAUGUAUAUUUUUAUUUUUUUCUCCAUAUUGUCUGUAAAGCCUGACAACCCUCCAGCAACAAGGACCCCCCACAAAAUGCCUGAAUUGUGACAUUAACAUUCCUUUAAAUAAAAUGAAAAACCACAUCACUAAAUGCACAAGUUCAUUGAGUGGUGCUGAACCUCAGUCUGUUACUGAAAGUCAGGCUAGGCAGACUCGUAGUGCAACAGCAAGGUCAGAGGUCCCAUCCUGUAGCAACAGUGAUGCCUGGAAUCUGUCCUGCGGGGUAGAGGAACCAGAUGGUAUCAUCUUGGACUCCACCAUAAAUUCAGCAAGAGCAGAGCAAUCGUCAGGUGAUAUGGUAGUGCAGGAAAAUGCAUCUCAUCAAGAUGACGAAAAGUCACUUCUAGGGGAAAAACCAGAGUGGAAAUGUGAACAAGAUGCAACCAGAGCAGCCUGGCUCUACAAGUCCGAGUUACUUUCAAAGUAUGAGACCAGAAAGGCAGUAGUCCUGCAAAUGGACUUGCGGGAAAGUAUUGUGGGUCAACAGAGGUCACUUAUCUCCCUCUACAAAGCCCCAAAGGUAGAGUGGGCGGGGCCUGUCAGCUGCAAACUGGAAGGGGAUGUUGCUGUUGGAGAAGGGGUGAAGAGAUUCUUCUUCUCAAAGGCAGUUUCUCUAGUACAGUCUGGUUUGCAUUUGAAUUUUGGGAACACAGAUCUUACAAGACUGUUUGACGGUGAGCCAGAACACUUGACUCCAUCCACUUCUCAGACCUUGCUUGAGAGUGACAUGUUUUUGGUGGCAGGUAAGAAAAUUAUGUACAGAAAUAAGACGAAGAGUAAUUUAAAAUAA